rnacentral:rRNA from 1 species
UGAGGAAUAUUGGACAAUGGGCGAGAGCCUGAUCCAGCCAUGCCGCGUGCAGGAAGACUGCCCUAUGGGUUGUAAACUGCUUUUAUACGGGAAGAAACACCCCCACGUGUGGGGGUUUGACGGUACCGUACGAAUAAGGAUCGGCUAACUCCGUGCCAGCAGCCGCGGUAAUACGGAGGAUCCAAGCGUUAUCCGGAAUCAUUGGGUUUAAAGGGUCCGUAGGCGGGUACGUAAGUCAGUGGUGAAAGUCUGCAGCUCAACUGUAGAACUGCCAUUGAUACUGCAUACCUUGAGUAAUUAUGAAGUGGUUAGAAUAUGUAGUGUAGCGGUGAAAUGCAUAGAUAUUACAUAGAAUACCGAUUGCGAAGGCAGAUCACUAAUAAUUUACUGACGCUGAGGGACGAAAGCGUAGGUAGCGAACAGG